AGGGAAGCCCCUAGCAUCUACAAGCAACUCACAACCCCCCCCCAGACGCAGGCCCCAAAAGUGUACAAGCAGCUCCCAACUCCCCCAACGUGGGCACCUACAGUAGACAAGCACCUCUCACCUCCCCCCAGCUGCAGACCCCAAAGGUGUACAAGCAGCUACAAACCUUGCCCAAGGCAGAACCCUACAGUGUACAAGCAGCUCCCAACCCCCCCAGAUGCAAGCCCCAAAGGUGUACAAGCAGCUCCACACCCCCCCCAGACAC